UACGUAGGGUGCAAGCGUUGCCCGGAUUUAUUGGGCGUAAAGGGCGCGUAGGCGGCUCUGCACGUCCGUUGUGAAAUCGCCCGGCUCAACUGGGCGGGGUCAGCGGAUACGGCAGAGCUUGAGCAAGCUAGGGGGCAAUGGAAUUCCCGGUGUAGUGGUGGAAUGCGUAGAUAUCGGGAGGAACACCAGUGGCGAAGGCGGCUUUCUGGUCUGUAACUGACGCUGAGGCGCGAAAGCGUGGGGAGCAAACAGG
rnacentral:rRNA from 1 species